rnacentral:sRNA from 10 species
AGAUGCCAGGGUCAAAAGGUCUAAGCCCACAUGAGCUUGCUCAUAGGUGGGUGAAAGACCUUAGAACCCGCCCUGCUAUGAGCAUAAAAGUGGGAUGAUAAUCCCACGAUAUGCGAAUAUUGGGUAGGAUUGUGGGAGUGCGUAGCACGGAGCAAUCCGUAGGCAUCA